GCCCGGCUAGCUCAGUCGGUAAAGCAUAAGACUCUUAAUCUGAGGGUCUUGGGUUCGAGCCCCUGCUAGGCG
rnacentral:tRNA from 1 species